UACGUAGGGGGCUAGCGUUGUCCGGAAUCAUUGGGCGUAAAGCGCGUGUAGGCGGUCCGGUAAGUCCGCUGUGAAAGUCGAGGGCUCAACCCUCGAAUGCCGGUGGAUACUGUCGGGCUUGAGUACGGAAGAGGCGAGUGGAAUUCCUGGUGUAGCGGUGAAAUGCGCAGAUAUCAGGAGGAACACCGAUUGCGAAGGCAGCUCGCUGGAACGUUACUGACGCUGAGACGCGAAAGCGUGGGGAGCAAACAGG
rnacentral:rRNA from 1 species